GUUUGCAGCCUGCAUGACCUAUGCAGAUUCAGCAGAAUCUCCGGGAGCCCUACUGCACUGAAUGCUAGUACUUGGAUGGGAGACCACCUGGGCAUUCCCGAGGCUGCAGACA
rnacentral:rRNA from 1 species